AAUUCGGACUGCAGCAGUGUUCAGUUCCUGAACGUUGCAGCGGAAAGUUUAGUGAACCUUAUCACUUAGAGGAAGGAGAAGUCGUAACAAGGUUUCCGUAGGUGAACCUGCGGAAGGAUCAUUCGCACGCAUCCAAUUGAACCACUGUGCAUCUUGUCGUGAGGUUCUGAGUGGGGAGCAAUUACCAACUCAGAGACUCAAGGGCAACAGUGUGAGGUUAACUUUGCUAAUCUCAUUCCUGUUGUCGGGUUCUUCUUGAACUUCUACCUUGUGAUUCCAUGCUUUCUUGAGUGGCUAUCCACUCCAACUCUAUCUCACAACUUUCAGCGACGGAUGUCUCGGCUCGAACAACGAUGAAGGGCGCAGCGAAGUGUGAUAAACAUUGUGAAUUGCAGAAUUCCGUGAACCAAUAGGGAUUUGAACGUAUACUGCGCUUUCGGGAUAUCCCUGAAAGCAUGCCUGCUUCAGUGCCUCUACCUCUUAAUGCCUGCAGCUUCGCCCUUUUGGGUUAGCUGCAUGUGCGUAUUUGUGCGUCAAAUUGCGCUUUCAAGUGCGUUUGACGCAUUGAGCAUAUGGGGAACCUUUGCAUCAAUCAACUCAUUGAGUGUCUCUGAUACCAUCUGUUGCAUUGCUUGCCAAGGUAGCCUCAACAACCAAGCGCUGCUUAGUGUAGCCUCCUUCCAAGGCAUGAAGUUAGGUCAGCAAACCCGCUGAAUUUAAGCAUAUAAGUAAGCGGAGGACAAGAAACUAAAUAGGAUUCCCCUAGUAAUGGCGAAUGAACAGGGAACAGCUCAGAAUGGAAAUUGGGGUCUCCCGACCUUGAAUUGUAGUCUUGAGAGGUACUGCCAACGGAGGCGCAGAUGUAAGCCUCUUGGAAAAGAGCAUCAACGAGGGUGAGAGUCCCGUUUGUCAUCUGCAGUCCCCCGUGCACGGUGUACUUUCUAAGAGUCACGUUCCUCGGGAUUGGAGCGCAAAGUGGGUGGUAAAUUUCAUCUAAAGCUAAAUAUUGGUUCGAGACCGAUAGCAAACAAGUACCAUGAGGGAAAGGUGAAAAGGACUUUGAAAAGAGAGUUAAAAGUGCCUGAAAUUGCUGAAAGGGAAGCGAAUGGAACCAGUGUUCUUGAUGAGAUUGCUGCGUACUCUGGUGAUUGUUGGGUGUUCCACCGCAAGGGGGGCAUCUGGUUUUGAGCUAGAUGUGCGUGGUGUUUCUUGUCUUGUGUGUCACCGUCGGUGCUCAAGCGAGGAAAACUCUAGGGAACUGGUAGCUCGCCUCCGGGUGUGUGAAUGUCCUUGGUAGUACUCAUUUGUGUAUCGAUUUUUGCGUGUCUGGUUGCAGUGUUUGAGUCGCCAGGAUGUUUUUCUGAAGGGACUUGUCCUUGAUGAAAUCCGCCUUGGCGCCUUGAUCUCC
rnacentral:sRNA from 1 species